UUGAUUUAAUAAAGUGCAUCUGUGUGCUGUAGCAGGUCAGUGUCAUCGUGGCGCGAAUCCAACAGCUGCUUCCUCUUUAAUGGGCAGUGAUGGAGAACUUCUCCUGAGUUCAAACAUGACGAAGAUCUUCCCUUCUCACCUCUUCUAGUCAACACACCCGGGAGUUUCCAACCAGCAAAACCAGACGAGAAAAAUAAGUUUAAGGCAUGUGCACAGGAAGGAAAAGGUAAGACAAUGUCUACCAACCACCCAAUGGCUGUAUUUUCGCCUGUCUUCCAACUCUCCUUUCUUUUUGGAGCUCGAGUCAGGAAGGAUGUUGUCCGGGGAAUGCCUGCCUUAUCCAACAGUUCAUUCCAGUGGCAGCCUUGCUCCACGACUUAGGCAUGUUCCAUGUUGAGAUGGGUCCUGAGUGCCAAGUGACACGAUGUUUACUGAUAGAAGAAAGCAAAUGAUGUGUAAUGGAGCUUCCUUCCUUCCUUCCUUCCUUCCUUCCUUCCUUCU